rnacentral:rRNA from 1 species
AUGGCGCCGCGCCAUCGACCACCAACAGGACGCCGCCCAAGGACGCGCCCGUCCCCGAGCAGCGAUCCCCCUCGUCCUCCAGCCCCGCUACCGUCGCCGGCUACCAAGGAGACGCGCCGCUCCUUCCCGUCCUCGCACGCGCCAGGGGCCGAGCUCCUCUCGCUGCGCCUCUGUUGGCUUCGACAUCGACCAGAUGCGCCCGACGAGCUCCCCGAGCGAGCUCACCCACAGCCCCUGCGUUCCUCACGACCCCGCUGCCGCUCCGUCCUAACCUCGCGGGACUCCUUCUGCAGCAGACGCCGUCCAGGGCCCUUGCCACUGUGCCCGCCUGGGUCCUUCGCCGGCGGCUAG